AAGACCUUACUUCAUAGGAGCAUUUCUAUAGUAAGCUCUUCACGCAACUUCUCACAAUUUGUGGGAAAUUGCCAGCCAUGAUGAAGAAACAUGGCGAGGUACCGUGAGCCUGCCACUUUUCCGCUUAAUGGGAGAGCGUGGUGUAUCGUAUGUAUGUAGC